rnacentral:lncRNA from 1 species
UUUUUAAAACAUUCAAACAACUUAAAAAAAAAACUGUAAGCAGAAAAUUAUCAUAGGACUUGGGACGAUCUUAAUUUUUCGACAGUAAUUUAAUAAAACUUUAUUUUUAACAAUUUGUGUAUGGUAUAAAUUUUUUGAAUCUACACGCCAAUGCUUCGUCCGAUUAUGCUGCAAGUCAGUCUUACCGAUAUAUUAUCCUAUUACACAUGAAAUCCUACUAGAAAUAAGGAACUUAUUUUAUUUUUUUUUAUUUUUAACAGUCUCACUAUUUUUAUUUUUUUUCACUGAAUAUUGUCAACAUUUGACACAUGAAUGAUGUCACUCUUGUUCGACAAUGGAUUUACGGUUUAAUAUACUAUUAUAUUUUAAUUUACAUGUUCUUUUUUGUUCAUUUGGAUCUGUGCAUCACAAGCACAUUCGAGUGAAAUUGGGGCCCUUAAAGCUAAAAGAGAAUAAUAAUCGAUGAGGCAUCUCUCUUUCAGACUGCUUUCGAUCCAUUUUCAACAUUAUUGAAGAAUCUUAUUUUUGUUCUCUCCUUUAAUAACUUUCAUCAUCUAUUAUUUAUCUUAUUACAAUGGAUGACACUAUAUAUUAAAUUAAUCAUCGCUAAGUGUUUUUC